rnacentral:tRNA from 1 species
GCGUAGCUCAGCGGUAGAGCUCCCGCCUUGUAAGCGGGUGGUCGUGGGUUCGACUCCCACCGCU